GGAGUACACCUCCGUCUUUGUGCUCAACGGGUAAGUGGUGUAGAUGAAACAAAUUUACCAACAAUUUUGUUGGAUUGUUUCACCUAUCGUUCCAUUUGCAGCUACGAGGACCUGGAACUGUUCAAGGAACU
rnacentral:precursor_RNA from 15 species